rnacentral:lncRNA from 1 species
UUUUGAAAUGUGCCUUUCUAUCCCUCGUGAUAGCGUUUUCAAAAUAAAGACUUCCAUGUGGAGAACGGUUUUCAAAUGAUUUUCUUGUGACUUUUCGAAAGUUAGAAUUUCAAACAAAGUCAUCGUAUGGGAGACAUUUCCAACUAAUAGAAUGAAUGAGAAUGAAUAUGAAUUGAUGUGACUAAGGACCGUUAGCUGUAUGUUGAUAAAUAUUGUUUCUACUUACUGUGUUAUAAGUGGAGAUCUGG